UACGUAGGGCGCGAGCGUUGUCCGGAUUUAUUGGGCGUAAAGAGCGCGUAGGCGGCCCGGUAAGUCCGCUGUGAAAGUCAAGGGCUCAACCCUUGAAUGCCGGUGGAUACUGUCGGGCUAGAGUCCGGAAGAGGCGAGUGGAAUUCCUGGUGUAGCGGUGAAAUGCGCAGAUAUCAGGAGGAACACCGAUGGCGAAGGCGGCUUACUGGGCAGAUACUGACGCUGAGGAGCGAAAGCGUGGGGAGCGAACAGG
rnacentral:rRNA from 1 species